AAAGAGAGGCAAGACCGCGAGGUGGAGCAAAUCUCAAAAAGCCGUCCCAGUUCGGAUCGCAGGCUGCAACCCGCCUGCGUGAAGUUGGAAUCGCUAGUAAUCGCGGAUCAGCAUGCCGCGGUGAAUACGUUCCCGGGCCUUGUACACACCGCCCGUCACACCAUGAGAGUCGGGAACACCCGAAGUCCGUAGCCUAACCGCAAGGGGGGCGCGGCCGAAGGUGGGUUCGAUAAUUGGGGUGAAGUCGUAACAAGGUAGC
rnacentral:rRNA from 1 species